rnacentral:ncRNA from 2 species
ACUGAAUAAUAUGUUUUAGGCACCUGAUUAGGUUUAAUAGGGAAAGUGGUGAAAAUCCACUGCAGCCCCCGCUACUGUAUACGGAGACAAAGCCAGAUCCACUGGGAAACCGGGAAGGAUGGUGGAGGAUGACCCGUCAGCCAGGAGACCUGCCUAAAGCAGAAAAUGGAA